rnacentral:rRNA from 1 species
GGCGGCGUGCUUAACACAUGCAAGUCGAACGGUGACCCAGGGCUUGCCCUGGUGAUCAGUGGCGAACGGGUGAGUAACACGUGGGCAACCUGCCCCUGACUUCGGGAUAACUCCUCGAAAGAGGAGCUAAUACCGGAUACGACCACUUCGGACAUCCGAUGGUGGUGGAAAGUUUUUCGGUCAGGGAUGGGCCCGCGGCCUAUCAGCUAGUUGGUGGAGUAAUGGCCUACCAAGGCGACGACGGGUAGCCGGCCUGAGAGGGCGACCGGCCACACUGGGACUGAGACACGGCCCAGACUCCUACGGGAGGCAGCAGUGGGGAAUAUUGCGCAAUGGGCGAAAGCCUGACGCAGCGACGCCGCGUGAGGGAUGAAGGCCUUCGGGUUGUAAACCUCUUUCAGCAGGGACGAAGCGAAAGUGACGGUACCUGCAGAAGAAGCACCGGCUAACUACGUG